UCAGGAUGAACGCCUAGCUACAAGGCUUAACGACAUGCAAGUCGAGGGGCAGCAUAACGAAGCUGCUUUGUUGAUGCGACCGGCGCACGGGUGAGUAACGCGUAUCCAACCUUCCCGCGAGUAGGGAACAGCCGGCGAAAGUCGGAUUAAUGCCCUAUGUUCUCCGAUGACGGCAUCAGAGUUGGAGUAAAGAUUUAUCGCUUGCGGAUGGGGGAUGCGUCUGAUUAGCUUGUUGGCGGGGUAACGGCCCACCAAGGCGACGAUCAGUAGGGGUUCUGAGAGGAAGGUCCCCCACAUUGGAACUGAGACACGGUCCAAACUCCUACGGGAGGCAGCAGUGAGGAAUAUUGGUCAAUGGGCGGAAGCCUGAACCAAGCCAAGUAGCGUGAGGGAUGACUGCCCUAUGGGUUGUAAACCUCUUUUGUUCGGGAAUAAAGUUCGGGACGUGUCCCGUUUUGUAUGUACCGUUCGAAUAAGGACCGGCUAAUUCCGUGCCAGCCGCCGC
rnacentral:rRNA from 1 species